AAAAAAUCUAUGGGGUAUUUUGAGCUGAGACUUCACAGACACAUUCAGGGGACACCAUAGACUUAUAUUACAUCUUUUAAAAACAUAAUCUAGGGCACCUUUAAAAUAGGCUUUAUUUUUACAGCUGUAUCCAGUAACAUUACCGUUCAUUGCUUUGUUUGAUGUUUUUAAAAAUGACUGUGGCCAAGUUAGCUCCUCAGUGUCAUUAGCGUUAACUUAGAUUUGUGUAAAAAAAAUAAUUUGGCAAAUAACCUUUUGAUUAAAACGCUAUUUGGACAGAAUUUCAUAUCUUUCUGGGAGGUGGGGUGAUUUAAUAAACGCAAAUUUUCACCCCUUUUUCAGUAAAAUAGCAGGCGAUAUAAGCUAAUAUUAGGCCUAAUGUUACCUGUUAUUUUUCACUGAACUUCUAGUUGUUUGAGUCUAUUUUUUUUGUUUACAUGAGGUGGAGAAUAGUCAUAUGUAAUGUUGUUUCAGAUAAUUAUUUCACAUCCUAUUAAUUCAUAAUUAAUAAAUUACCGUGUGUGUGUUCUGUUGCACCUUACAGCUCAAUCAAGUGCCGACAGUGUGUUUUUUGGAGUAUUUCUUCUUUCUAUUUCAUCUUUCAUCUGAGGAAAGUAAGAUUAAAAAUUGUUUUAAACUUGAUUUAGCCAGCUAUUUUGUCAAAUACUGAUAAUGGUCCACAACUACAGCUUUUAACAUGUAAUAAUUGUGCCAUUUCAAACUAUAAUUUAAUAAAGUUUAAAAACCCACUUGUAUCAGUAAACUUUAGUUCUAGUAUACUAGUUUCAGUCUAUGUUUGUUUACAUUUGACAAAUCUCCACCUCAUGUAAUGUUGUUUCAGAUCAUUAUUUCAUAUCAUAGAGAGGAAGUGUCAUUGCUCCCUAUGUAGUCCUCACCGAGCCAUCAGAUUCAAUCAAAAUAUCUUAAUUUGUGUUCUGAAGAUGAACGAAGGCCUUACAGAUGUACAACGACAUGAGGAUGGAGUCCAAGAAGUUCCUCCUGUGUCCUGUGAGAAAGAGCCAUGUAUCACAUACCGCCACUGAUGAAGACAUUACAAAACGCACAAUACGAUGGUUCAGCCUGGCAGCUGAUAGGGGAAGCUCAAGGAACCAUCCCACUGUGAGCACCCAACAAAGUUUCAGAGUUUCAUUGGCUACGUUUACAUGCACCGAUUUUCGUCAAUCCGAAUUAAUUGAAUCUGAUUGCAGAUCUGUUUACAUGUACUAUAAACAUUGUAAUCUGAUUCAAAUAUCCAUUUAUAUUUGUUUUAUAUACAUUCCGAUUAAAACUUUGAUGUCAUAUCAAUCACUUGUGGUAACCCAGGUUGCAUCAACAGAGUCAGAGAUAUUGUCAAAUGCAGCAAAUCUUGGCAAUAUUAAGAGGAUUUGGUAUUUCCAAUUAAUGUAGGCCUGUUACAUACUUCUUGUUUAUUAUUAUUAUUACUAUUAGGUUAGGCUUCUUUCUUUUAUUAUUAAAUUAAUAUUAUAAUAAAUUUGCCCCACAAUAAUUUCAUAGCGCAUCACCACAUAACUGCCAUGCUCUGAGGAUAAUAUAACUUAUAAGAUCAGGCUAUUAGCUAUCUUUGAAAAUGAUUUAAACUUUUUUUUUAGGUCUUAUACAAUAAAUUAUAGGCUUAUAAUUAAAGUUAUUAAAAGUGCCAAUGAAAAUUAAGCGCAGCUUUACUUCAAGCACCGACAACUUGUUUAACACAAAAUACUAUUAUUUUCAUUUGUUUCACUAGCCUAUAUGUACGGCCACAAGAGAAAUAAUGGAAUAAAUUUAGACAGUUACAUAGGCUACCGUUAUCAGCAUUUUAUGUUUGUUAGAUUAAUCUAGAUUAAUUUCAAAAUUACAGUGAGAUCAAUCUAGAUUAAAAAAAAUAAUCUAUGCCCACCACUAAAUUAUAUACACUAUAUUGCCAAAAGUUUUGGGAUGCCUGCCUUU